UACGUAGGGUGCGAGCGUUGUCCGGAAUUAUUGGGCGUAAAGAGCUCGUAGGCGGUCUGUCGCGUCGAAUGUGAAAACCCGGGGCUCAACUCCGGGCCUGCAUUCGAUACGGGCAGACUAGAGUUCGGUAGGGGAGACUGGAAUUCCUGGUGUAGCGGUGAAAUGCGCAGAUAUCAGGAGGAACACCGGUGGCGAAGGCGGGUCUCUGGGCCGAUACUGACGCUGAGGUGCGAAAGCGUGGGGAGCAAACAGG
rnacentral:rRNA from 1 species